GCAGCUGUAUUUCUUGAUAACAACACAUUCUGCAUUUUCUCACCAACAUAUUUACUACCCUCCAGUGUUUAUCAAUGGUCAGGAAAAUGCAGAGGAGGAGGAUAUGGAUAACAAUGAUGAUCUUGCUGGAGAUGCCAUUGAAAGUGAUGACAAGGAAGAACAGGUACCAGCAGAACGGCCUCCCAAAACAUCAAAAUUUAUAGCUUCAUCAUGUACUCAUCAAGUGUGCUUAAUAUCUGGAUGAAGAUUCAUAGUUGAAGGCUACAGACUUUGGCCUGUCAGAUUUUGUGAAACCAGAUGAAAAGUUUAUCAAAAUUGCUGGUAGUACAUACUGUGUAGCCCCCAAAGUGUUACAUAUGGCUUAUGGUACAGAGGCUGAUGUCUGGAGCGUAGGUGUGAUUGCACACAUUCUAUUGUGUGGCAGCUGUCCAUUUUGGCCUUGAACGAAGUUUGGCAUUUUUCGGGCAGUUCUAAAAGUUGAUCUAAGUUUCAAUGAACCUUGGCCACAUUCUCUACAGAGGCAAAAGUAAUUUGGUCAAGCGCCUAUUGAAUCAAGACCCACGGAAAAGAAUUACCACUGCACAAACAUGAAGUGAGUGCCUUAUCCACUCUCAAAAUGCUUAGUCAUGAACUCAUGAUUAACUUCUGAAACUGUCACUCACUGCUUUCUCUUGCAGGUCAUCCCUGCCUUGAACAUCAUAACACUGUUAAACUUCCUCCGGACAUAAUAAUAUUCAAGCUCAUGAAGGUUUAUAUGCGCUUAUCACCUCUCCGCAAAACUGCUUUAAGGGGAGUUUUUUGCUCAGCUUUCCAGGUUGGUGUAUCAACAUGGUGUCUUAACAUGACAGGGCCGAUUUUUGUAUCUAUGUUCAAGCCUUUGGGGAUCGUAGUUGCAGUUGCCACUGGUUUUGGAGUGUAGCAUACUCUUUACUCUCUGGGUUCAGAAAAUCUAGAAAGAAAGCACGGGCUAUCUAGCUUAAUUUUGAGUUUAACUACCAAAAGAUAAUUGUUGUUUAUGUACUCUAAUCGACUGAAAACACGUAUCAAUAACAAAGAGACCCGCAGCAAAGCGCGGGCUAUCUAUCUAGUU